CCCAGGUGCCCCCAGAGGUUUCUACUUUUAUCCAUUAUCUUAAAGUAGUGGUAUCCAGUUAUGAAUUCCAGUACCUCUUAGGGAUGCGGAGAGGUUGACAAUGGGAUGCUUCCAGUUUUUUUCUGAAUACUUUUAAAAGGCUUUGGAAAUUCCAGCACUUACCAUAGUUAGCCACACUUGCUGAUGCGUCCACUAUGUUUUAUUUCAGCCUGUUGGAGUCACCCUGGUUACCUUGUGCUUGAAACGUGCUCAGAACGUGCUUGAAACGUGCCAGAAACGUGUGGGCAGGUCAUGCCUGACAACGACAACUGGGGAGACUCCUCAUCUGUUAGCCAGAACACAGCACGGUGCAAAGUGUCACUCGUCUUCCUACUUGUUCACCGUAAACGGUGGCCGAACACGCCACCCCAAGACGGCCACCCCACUUUGGCAUAAGAUGAUUUGAGCAAAAGGCACUUGAAAAACAGCAGGUACAAGAAGAACGUCCGUAUCUCCCCUUCUUCCUGAGAGCAGGACACAGACCAGGGUGAAGUUGCUGUCCCUGCACCAGGGGGAAGGAAGUGGUCUUGCCAAGGGACGGGAGCCCAGGCCGAGAGAAUUCUUGUUGAAAUAACUCCUAUCCAGGUAUUUUGGAUACUUUCCCACUGUCCCUUUCUGUUCACACUAGCAUGAAACCUCUCGUUUUUGCCAACCCUGGGUCUUUGUUCUCCUUAUGAGGGCUCCCUCCCAUGUGAUGAAAAACUUAUGUAAAAUAAACUUGUGUGCUUUCUCCUGCUAAGUCUCAGGCCCAGGCCAGAGACCCCAAGAGGGUUGAGAGAAUGGCAUUCCUCCCUCCACCAGACGGAGUGCCUCCAGCGCAGGACCCUGUCUGUCUUGCUUCCCUCCCACUGACUCCUCAGUCCCAGAACCCCUCGGGCAGGAAGCGGGGACUGUCUGCCGAGUAAAUGAUCUGUGUCCACAGCACCCACCCAUCUCCUUCCCGCCUCAGCCCAUUCACACUCAGACCAGCAUCAGCAUAAGAGAGGACAGUGGUUUGCUUCCAUGCAUCCUUUAGGAAGACACGUGCCCUUACAGGGCUUGAGCGGCUGACAAACAAGGACUUCUCUGUGUAUACACUGGCACAUACUAAUGCUCCACGUUCCCAGUGGAGCUCCAGGAGCUAAAAAUAACCACGCGUGUUCUGUUUUAUACAGAAAAGAGGAAAUGUGCAGCUUAGUUUGUAACGUUUACUAUUUUUGAAAACCUGAUUUUUUUCCACAUGUAUUUUUAAAAUGUCUUUGGAGAUGUCCUUGCGGGAAAAUGCACAAUGCAGAUUUCACCAAAGGUCCCUCCAUUCUGUAAUCCACAUCUUCAGGAAACAAUUGCUGGAGACCAGAUACACUUGACCACGAGAUGGGUUUUCGGGAAGCCGCCCAGAUGCAGAUCACCAGGGGUCAUAGGAGGGCCAAAGGGCCCCGGGACCUCGGAAGCCAGGUCUCUGCCUAGUCUGCCCCCUGUGCAAGGAGGGGCACACGAUCCCCUGACCACAGGCUGACAGUGGGAGCGCGGGCCUCUGUUAUCCUGAGAGAUGAGCGAGAGGUGACCGUCAUGCAGUGUCGCUCUGACCGCCACUGAGCGCGGUCUUUCGUGAAAAGAUGGGAGGGAGGUGUGUGUGCUAUAGGUCUUCAUCUCGUACUGCGUAUUUGCUCCUUAAGUGAGUGUGGGGAGGGUCUCGGUUUCUAAGGCUCCCCUGUAAGAGACGGCAGGCUAUGAUGGUCAUGAGCUGGUGGUGUUCAGUGUUGUUCGCUGCCCUUCCUUCUCACAGGGACGCUGGAAGGUUAAAAAAUAUGUAAAGAACAAAUGAAGUAAAAAGGAAGAGACACAAGUUGCCUACAGCGCAGGAAGUUGGGAACGUGGGAGCCGUGUUUGUGAAGAAUGUUCGACAACAGUGGAAUCUGUCUAUAGCAUGCUGUUCACGGAGGGCAAGCGGCGGUGUUGGGAUGUGUCCCUUGAUGGUGGCCCAACUUGAGGGGUCCCUGGGCUCCCAGGAGACAGCCAGCCUGGGGGAAUCUCCUCCUGACAGGAGUCUCACUGGACAGACACCUGCACUUCUAGUGGUGGAAUGAGGAUGAGGGAUGUGCACUUUCUGGCCAGAUCGAGGCCCAGGCUCACUGGCCAGUGGUCUUCUGCCACCCUCUGCAGUUCUCCCAGGCAGACCCCAGCACAGAGAUGCAGGUCAUCUCUGUUCUAUAAUACCCAUACGUAGUGAACCCAGUGCCUGAAAUGGAAAGACUGACAGUACUAAGUAUCAGCACGGGUGUGUAGCUGCCGAGAUUCUGCGGGCCUGCAAGUGGAUGUUUCAGGUCCCAGGGCAAUGAGUCGAGAAGCAGAGCUAGGCUGAGUCAAGCCACAGCCCAGGAACUGUGGCGCUGCUCACCCCUUUGCCCUUCCUUCUUCACAAGCAGGAGGCCUGGGCGCCUCGGGAAACAAAUACAUAAGCAGAAAGCAAGGACAGAGGAGUAGCUUCUUGGAAUUUGAUGUAAAAGUUCAGGCCUUAAGUUGGAUGAAGUCAGCGAGAAGGAUUUGGGAGGAAACACGCUAAGUGAGAGCCAGGCCCUUCUGCCUCUGUUCCUCGGGGUGCCGAACGCAGCCAGCUGAGAACUUUGCAUGGGCCUCUCCAGAGGGCUGCUCCAGGACCAGAGCUGGGAGACUGGUCACACUGCAGGAGAACCCAUUCAGGGUCCAAAUAAAGCUCUGCGCAGAUCCCUGCUUGUUUCCGCCCUUUUGCGAAAAUUGAACGUAUGAAUCUCCUCCGUGGCCUUUAUCGAUCAAGGCCAAACCACGAAGAUCGGUUACCACUGUGGAAAGCGAGACAGAGUCAUGAAGCAUGGGAGAAGGAGACCACGCCGUGGUCAGCAAUGCGUCUGGUUGGGAGACUGUCUGGGUUCCCGUGGAUACCUUUCGCCUGCUCACUUCCUGCCAGGUCCUGCUUUGCCCCAACAGCGAAGGCAGGCAACGUGCCGCUCACUGUGUUCACGGAAGCCGGUGUUGGUCUCUUCAGCUGUGACGCCCUUUCUUGCCCAGGCUUCCGGAAUCCCCUCGUCUCAUCUCCGUGGACAUCUUUGUCCUCACACAUCUUUGGUUCCCGUGUGGUUGGUCUCAGGUAGGCAGGAGACAAGGUGGAAAAGGACACAGGACCUGACACUUCCCUGCAGUCUCUUGGUAUGGAGCUGCCGGGGGACCCUGCGGCUUUUAGGUGGGAGAGCCGCUGUGGGCACACACACGGGGCGCGGUCCAUGAGAGCCCCUGGGGUGGCCCCAGGGCAGGUGUGGCUUUUGGAGAUCUGUCUGUGCAAAUGCUCAGCCAAGGGGCAGAUGGCAAGGCCUGCUGGGCAGCUGCUUGGAGUGUGGAAGCUGAGGGAAUGGGACAAAAGGUGUGGCACAGGUGGGAUUGGGCCACGAGCCCCGUGGCACCGGAGAAGGGACAGUCGCGGGUGAACCGUUGGGCUGACAUCCCUGCAUCGAGGGCGCCGGCAAGGCCUCUCCACGUGGGCCUCAGACUCCGCCUGUCCUGCUCGCCCGACCUUCGCGUCUUCCUGCUUC